rnacentral:rRNA from 1 species
AAGCAUUUGUACUGUGAAACUGCGAAUGGCUCAUUAAAUCAGUUAUCGUUUAUUUGAUAGUACCUUACUACAUGGAUACCUGUGGUAAUUCUAGAGCUAAUACAUGCUAAAAACCUCGACUUCGGAAGGGGUGUAUUUAUUAGAUAAAAAACCAAUGCCCUUCGGGGCUCCUUGGUGAAUCAUAAUAACUUAGCGAAUCGCAUGGCCUCGCGCCGGCGAUGGUUCAUUCAAAUUUCUGCCCUAUCAACUUUCGAUGGUAGGAUAGUGGCCUACCAUGGUGGCAACGGGUAACGGGGAAU